AGUGAACGCUGGCGGUAGGCCUAACACAUGCAAGUCGAACGGCAGCACAGUAAGAGCUUGCUCUUACGGGUGGCGAGUGGCGGACGGGUGAGGAAUACAUCGGAAUCUACUUUUUCGUGGGGGAUAACGUAGGGAAACUUACGCUAAUACCGCAUACGACCUACGGGUGAAAGCAGGGGACCUUCGGACCUUGCGCGAUUGAAUGAGCCGAUGUCGGAUUAGCUAGUUGGCGGGGUAAAGGCCCACCAAGGCGACGAUCCGUAGCUGGUCUGAGAGGAUGAUCAGCAAAGAUGUGACAGAGACUGGGGCCAGACUCAGAAGGGAGGCAGGAGGGGAGAAUAUUGGACGAGGUGCGCAUGCCUUCUCACGCCACGACGGGUGUGUAAAGAAGGACGUCGGGUUGUAACGCUCUUGUGUUGGGAAAGAAAAGCAGCAUGUAUCUACCCCUUUGUUCUGACGGUACACAAAGAAUAAGCACCGGCAAACUUCGUGCCAGCAGCCGAGAUAAUAGUCGAAAGAGCACAUGUUGAAC
rnacentral:rRNA from 1 species